GUGGGAUUAGCUCAGUUGGUUUAGAGCGUUACGUUGACAUCGUAGAGGUCGCUGGUUCGAAUCCAGUAUCCCACACUA
rnacentral:tRNA from 1 species